UAGGGAAUCUUCGGCAAUGGACGAAAGUCUGACCGAGCAACGCCGCGUGAGUGAAGAAGGUUUUCGGAUCGUAAAACUCUGUUGUUAGAGAAGAACAAGGACGUUAGUAACUGAACGUCCCCUGACGGUAUCUAACCAGAAAGCCACGGCUAACUACGUGCCAGCAGCCGCGGUAAUACGUAGGUGGCAAGCGUUGUCCGGAUUUAUUGGGCGUAAAGCGAGCGCAGGCGGUUUCUUAAGUCUGAUGUGAAAGCCCCCGGCUCAACCGGGGAGGGUCAUUUGAAACUGGGAGACUUGAGUGCAGAAGAGGAGAGUUGAAUUCCAUGUGUAGCGGUGAAAUGCGUAGAUAUAUGGAGGAACACCAGUGGCGAAGGCGGCUCUCUGGUCUGUAACUGACGCUGAGGCUCGAAAGCGUGGGGAGCAAACAGG
rnacentral:rRNA from 1 species